GACGAACGCUGGCGGCGUGCUUAACACAUGCAAGUCGAACGGUGAAGCCCUUCGGGGUGGAUCAGUGGCGAACGGGUGAGUAACACGUGAGCAACCUGCCCCUGGCUCUGGGACAACCACUGGAAACGGUGGCUAAUACCGGAUACGACCCGCCUCGGCAUCGAGUGUGGGUGGAAAGUUUUUCGGCUGGGGAUGGGCUCGCGGCCUAUCAGCUUGUUGGUGAGGUGAAGGCUCACCAAGGCGACGACGGGUAGCCGGCCUGAGAGGGCGACCGGCCACACUGGGACUGAGAAACGGCCCAGACUCCUACGGGAGGCAGCAGUGGGGAAUAUUGCACAAUGGGCGAAAGCCUGAUGCAGCGACGCCGCGUGAGGGAUGACGGCCUUCGGGUUGUAAACCUCUUUCAGCUCCGAAGAAGCGAAAGUGACGGUAGGAGCAGAAGAAGCACCGGCUAACUACGUG
rnacentral:rRNA from 1 species